GCUACGGGUGGCAGCAGUGGGGGAUAUUGCACAAUGGGGGGAACCCUGAUGCAGCGACGCCGCGUGGGUGAAGGAGGGUUUCGGCGCGUAAAGCCCUAUCGGCAGGGAAGAAGAUGACGGUACCUGACCAAGAAGCCCCGGCUAACUACGUGCCAGCAGCCGCGGUAAUACGUAGGGGGCAAGCGUUAUCCGGAUUUACUGGGUGUAAAGGGGGCGCAGACGGCGAUGCAAGCAAGGGGGGAAAGCCCGGGGCCCAACCCCGGGACUGCCCUUGGAACUGUGCGGCUAGAGUGCGGGAGGGGCAGGCGGAAUUCGUGGUGUAGCGGUGAAAUGCGUAGAUAUCAGGAGGAACACCGGCGGCGAAGGCGGCCUGCUGGACUGCGACUGACGUUGAGGCUCGAAAGCGUGGGGAGCGAACAGGAUUAGAUACCCUGGUAGUC
rnacentral:rRNA from 1 species